rnacentral:rRNA from 1 species
AUUGAACGCUGGCGGCAGGCUUAACACAUGCAAGUCGAGCGGGGUGAUGGUGCUUGCACUAUCACUUAGCGGCGGACGGGUGAGUAAUGCUUAGGAAUCUGCCUAUUAGUGGGGGACAACAUCUCGAAAGGGAUGCUAAUACCGCAUACGUCCUACGGGAGAAAGCAGGGGAUUACUUGUGACCUUGCGCUAAUAGAUGAGCCUAAGUCGGAUUAGCUAGUUGGUGGGGUAAAGGCCUACCAAGGCGACGAUCUGUAGCGGGUCUGAGAGGAUGAGCGGCCACACUGGGACUGAGACACGGCCCAGACUCCUACGGGAGGCAGCAGUGGGGAAUAUUGGACGAUGGGGGGAACCCUGAUCCAGCCAUGCCGCGUGUGUGAAGAAGGCCUUAUGGUUGUAAAGCACUUUAAGCGAGGAGGAGGCUCUUUUGGUUAAUACCCAAGAUGAGUGGACGUUACUCGCAGAAUAAGCACCGGCUAACUCUGUGCCAGCAGCCGCCGUAA